rnacentral:rRNA from 1 species
AGCGAACGCUGGCGGCAGGCUUAACACAUGCAAGUCGAGCGGGCAUCCUUGUGGUGUCAGCGGCAGACGGGUGAGUAACGCGUGGGAACGUGCCCUUCGGUUCGGAAUAACUCAGGGAAACUUGAGCUAAUACCGGAUACGUGCGAGAGCAGAAAGGUUUAUCUGCCGAAGGAUCGGCCCGCGUCUGAUUAGCUAGUUGGUGAGGUUAUGGCUCACCAAGGCGACGAUCAGUAGCUGGUCUGAGAGGAUGAUCAGCCACACUGGGACUGAGACACGGCCCAGACUCCUACGGGAGGCAGCAGUGGGGAAUAUUGGAAAAUGGGGGCAACCCUGAACCAGCCAUGCCGCGUGAGUGAUGACGGCCUUAGGGUUGUAAAGCUCUUUUCUUCGGGACGAUAAUGACGGUACCGGAGGAAUAAGCCCCGGCUAACUUCGUG